ACGGCAGCUCCGUAACUGAAGUCUAAAAAACAAUUACCUAUCCGCGAGCGUAGCGAAUCGACUCGGCAAAGUAGUUGAGAGUAACGAAGAGAAGACGACGGCUCUGAAAUGGCAUCUGCAAUUGUUAGAUCUGGCCUCCGCUCCGCCAUCCGCGGCGGCGCCUCUCGUACAGCUCCAGCUCCGGCAUCUAAGAGAACUUUUUCCGCCUCUGCCCAUCAUGAUGAAGCCGCUGAGGCUUCGAAGUGGGAGAAGAUUACAUACCUUGGGAUAGCCACCUGCUCUACUCUCUCAGUCUAUAACCUCUCCAAGGGUCAUCACCACCAUGAAGAGCCUCCUCCUUAUCCAUACUUGCACAUUCGCAACAAGGAGUUUCCAUGGGGUACAUUUCAAAACUGAGUUAUUUUACCUCUCUCAUUGAUAAUGUUGCAUUUCCAUGAAUCUUUGCUUGAUUUGUAUUGAAUAUCAGGUGUACGCUGUUUUAUUUGUUCAUUGAUACAAAUAGUGAUUUGGUUUGGGGAGUUGUUGUAAUGAUUUCUGAAGUUUUCAAGAAAAUAUUUCCCUGAAUAUUGAGUAAUGCUGUUCCUUAAAAGUUGUAAGCACAUCAUUUCAUCCCUAUAACACAAUGAGGACUCAAUCUUCAACUGAAAUGUAUAUUUAUUAUUGGCACAAGCUUUUCCAGGUGGAUCAGAUUAGAAGUUUAAUUGUAUUUUCUAUUCGAAAUCGGAUUGGUGCAAUAUUAAAUCCUAGUAAUGCUUCUCAUA